UACCAGCUCUCCGAGUUGUAGGGAUGAUUAUUGGGCCUAAAGCAUCCGUAGCUGGCUGGGCAAGUCCCCUGUUAAAUCCACCGAUUUAAUCGUUGGUGUGCGGGGGAUACUGUUCGGCUAGGGGACGGGAGAGGCCGACGGUAUUUUCGGGGUAGGGGUGAAAUCCUAUAAUCCCGGGAAGACCACCAGUGGCGAAGGCUGUCGGCUAGAACGCGCCCGACGGUGAGGGAUGAAAGCUGGGGGAGCGAACCGGAUUAGAUACCCGGGUAGUCCCAGCUGUAAACGAUGCAGGCUAGGUGUUUGGGCGGCCACGUGCCGCUCUAGUGCCGCAGAGAAGUCGUUAAGCCUGCCGCCGUGGGGAGUACGGCCGCAAGGCUGAAACUUAAAGGAAUUGGCGGGGUGCACCACAAGGCGUGAAGCUUGCGGUUC
rnacentral:rRNA from 1 species